rnacentral:lncRNA from 1 species
UAGUUUUUAGAUAAAAACUAAAAACGGCGUAUCAGAUCCGUGAACUCAGCAAAUCAGCACCGUCCAUCUGGCCCGGUCCCAUCACCUCCCCACCUAUAUAUACCCCCUCCCUCCUCUCCCCUCGUCGGAACCGGGUACCGUAUACCAUCAGCAUAUACCAUCACCACAACCUAAUUUAAGUAAUCAAUCACCUCUUCUCAAAAAAAAAGCAAUCCAUCACCGAUGUCGGAGGAGCACCGCCACCACCACCACUUCCACCACCACAAGGAGGAGGAAAAGCCCGUGGAGACGGUGGAGUACUCGGAGACGGCCUACACCACCGGCAGUGGCGGCUACGGUGGCGAUGGCGGAUACAACGCCGGCUACGGCGGCGAUGGCGGAUACAAAGCUGGCUACGGCGGCGAUGGCGGAUACACCACUGGGUACGCCGAGAAAACGGAGAUGGUCUCGGGGUCCAACGAAGAGGAUUACGAGAAGUAUGAGAAGGAGGAGAAGCACCACAAGCACAAGGAGCAUCUCGGCGAGAUGGGCGCGCUAGCCGCCGGUGCCUUCGCUCUGGUAUUAUUCAUCUCACCACUUAACUUGUUCCCGUUGAGCACCACACCGUCCUCCUCCUCAUCUUUUUUGUCGGGUACCGAGGAAAUCCAUGAAAGCUAGACUGGUAUUCACCAUGCUUGGCAUGCGUCCACGACUUCUAGGGUCCACCAAAAGGACGAAAGACACGUGCCCCCACGACAUACCUAUUUCAAGAUCGUCAUGGACCGUUAUAACGGAAAUAACGGGCCUUUUAUAGCCUGGAUUUGUGAAGAUGAAAUGAUAACUUUUAUAAAGGCUAUUAUUAUUGGCUAUAAUCAUCAUUAUAUAUAUAUAUAUAUAUAUUGGCUAUAAGAGAAAAUGAAAGAUGAUAAUUGUUAAGGAAACAACAGUGUUCUUUUCAUUAUAAUCAUAUUUUAUUUUUUCUCGAUUGGAAAUUAACCAUUAUGAUUUGGGUAAUGAUUUUAUUACAACUAAUCUUUCAGUAUGAGAAGCAUGAGGCCAAGAAGGAUCCGGAGCAUGCACACAAGCAUAAGAUAGAGGAAGAGAUUGCUGCGGCAGCCGCGGUGGGCAGCGGAGGGUAUGCGUUUCAUGAGCACCAUGAGAAGAAGGAAGCUAAGGAGGAAGCUGAGGAAUCUCAUGGAAAGAAGCAUCAUCACCUCUUCUAAAGUGGAUGGAAGAACUUUUGUUUUUCCCUGUAUCUUUAUAUGCUCCUUUCUGUUUCUAUGGUAUGUAAGCUGGCAUGGGAUUGAAAAUAUGGUGUUUAGCGUGAUGUAUUUUGGUCUGACAGUCUGACACCUAAAUAAGUGCCGGUUUGUUCUGGCCUUAUGAUGUAGGGUAUAUAUUUUGGUGGUGUGAACCUGCUCUGUUUAUAUUUGCGUGCAUUUUUAUUCUUGAAGAUUUUAUUUUUUUUUUUUUUUUUUGUACUGGGUUUUUGUGAUAAUACUGAGGCGGUGUUUUGUUUUAGUACUAAUGCAACUAAAGUACAAAAUGUGACGACACCAUGAUCU